CCUCAAUCAAGGGACUGGAGCAGCUGCAACUGAGUUUCAAAACAUGAAGUUAGUAGCAGCGAGACGCUCAGCUCGAGGAUUCAUAAUGAGACUUCACUAACCGGUGGGCAACCUCAAGUCAGCCUGUGGAAGAGCUUCUGCCAGAGCUACGCUACACUACGCCCAAACUGCUCAGGUGUGAGGCAUCCUUAACGAGGUCAGCUCCACCCACUGAUUACCUGGAAGAGAUUGGCAGACAGAGCCAACGAGGAAAGUAAAGCAUAAAAGGAGAAGGCUGAAAUAAAUGAAACUGGCUGCCAUGCCACCGGUGUGCACUGGUUAUAUUCAAAUGACGUCCACUGUAAAAUAAUCUGUGACAUUACCCACCAAGGAAAGUAACUUCUAAAAGUACUUGGCUUCCCAAAAAUGGUGAAACAAUUACAGGGUACUGUAGUUUGAUUUUUUAGACUCCUCAAACAGCAGCUCACUUCAUUUUUUUUAUCAAAUUUGACUCAGAUGUGGUGCGUUAGCUGAGGACUUCUUUCAGCGGUGGAUUAAUACGCACUUCUUCUUCUUGCUUAUGUCCUUCAUGUCUGCAGUGAAGCACUUGUGGCACUUUCUGUGCUUUAGAAAGCCCUUUACCCUGUUUAUUUUAUUUCUGCAUGAGUAGUUUUGCAUCUUGUGUAACAAGACUAUGAACCAGAAGCUUCUCUGUGGGUUUUUUGUCCCUGCCUGUCAGCCCU